rnacentral:lncRNA from 1 species
UAGAAAUUUUCUAAGAAAAAAACAAACUAAUCACAGAUCUUUCCUUACAGAGUUCUCAAAUUUUAUUCCCCAGAAAGUCUGUGUUUCCAAAAAAAAAAAAAAAAAGUUCUGGCAACGAUUAAAUGGUACUUGCUAAACUUUUACUGGUUUUGAGUCCUUCCCAGGGAACCAAAGGUCACUGAGAAUGCCUCUCUGGCCUGCCUGCCAGCCCAUUGCUGGCUUCCUGGAAGCUGGGAGAGAACCCUCUAGACCAGACGAAUUCUGCAGAAUUGCCUGUCAUGCCUGGGAAGCUGGACCCACUGGGAAGUGUCUGAGAAAGACCAAGGGGGUAGGAAUGGUUUGCACUGUACCAGGGUCCAGUGGGGCAAGUGACAGUUUUGGGGCUCUGCAUGGAGUGGAGAGCAUGUCAAGGAACAAAGAUGAGCUGCCGUCACUCCCAUCACUGGAGGUGGCAGUGAGGCUCCUGAGCCCUCCAUCUCUGCAACCUUUUUUGCCUUUCCAAAAGCCUGCUGCUCAUAGGGAAAGGGAGUAGCUGGACUCAUUCUUUCUAGAACCUUAGGGAUAUAAGAAGGCAGGAGGGGGAGAGGACAGUGCCUCACCCAGAGGAAGGCUUCCCCCAUGGUGGGUGUUAAGGCAUUGCAGGUCAUAGAAUCUGUGUUAGAGGGGACCCUAGAGGUCAUCCAAGCUGGUGGCUGCAGGUGAGAAUUGCCUUUGGAAAGAGACAGAUUCCUGGGACCAUCUGAAAACAACUACAGCUAAAUCUCUGGGGACAGAUCUUGGGACUCUCCUCAUACCUUCAAAACUAGAACCCAGGACCCUAAUCCAAUUAUCUGUAUCAAACACUUGAAUCUCUAUGAAAAGCUAAUCCAGCCUCUACCUGAACUUGGGGAGAAGCAACUCACACUGCCCCCCACCAUUCCCAAACUGCUCAUUGCAUUGCUACAACUCUAGCUCUACUUACAUGAAUGUUAUCAGAUAAUGAUUAGUGAUCAUUAACAUCUAUCAAGUGCUUGGCCAUUGACCCUGUAAAUACAGAAGCUAAGCUUCCAAGUUCUAGUCUGAGACAGGCCUGGAUUCAGAUCUUGCAGCACUUUACAUAUUUUUUUGUCACUUUGGGCAAAGUGACAAAGGACUCUGAGCCUCAGUUUCCUCAUCUGUGAAAUGGGGAUACUUCUUGUGGAGUCACGUAACAGUGCUUGACACCAUGCUUGACAUUAUGUCCUCUCAAUGAAGAAGUUGUUCCUCCAGGUAAACCCAAAUCUAUCUCCCUGUGCCUCCACCCAACUCCUCCAUAUAUAUGCUCUGGGCUCCAUGGCUCCAUAAAGCAAACCCAUUCUGCUCCCUGCCCUAGGGCAGUCCUUGGUAGACAGCAGGCCUCUUUCCCAGCAGCUGGCCCUAGCUCCUGUCCUCUUGCACCCUAGUUGGCCCCUUUUCUGAGAGAUUGGCCCUAGAGGGGAUGAAAUUAUGGAGGAGAACUGCUCAGCAGGCCAGGCCCCCAGGAGUUCCUUGAGUGUGUGGGGAAUCAGAGGAGCUUAUGUAAAAAAGGCUGUAGAGAACAGUGAUCCCAGGAGAGAAGAGGGUGGCUCCUGUACUCUGCUAGUGUAAAGCCACUAACCUAGGCAGCCAGCUGUGUGCCAAGCAUGGGCCCAGGCAUAACACAUCCCUCAGCUUAUUCAACUCUCACAACUGGCCAGGUAGAUGAUUUUUCCUUAUUUUACAUUUGAGGCACAGAGAAGUUAGGUAACGGAUGCAGUGAUGCACAGCUGAAACUGACAAGCCUGGGAGUUGAUCCGAGGUCUCCCUGUACCCCACACCUGGAACUAGAAUGGAACAAAGGAGUGAAAUUUGAAGUCUAAAUCCAAAAUGCAGGGGAUGCCUGGGUGGCUCAGCAGUUGAGCGUCUGCCGUCAACCCAGGGUGUGAUCCUGGAGUCCUGGGAUCAAGUCCCACAUCAGGCUCCCUGCCUGGAGCCUGCUUCUCCCUCUCCCUCUGUCUCUGCCUCUCUCUCUCCCUCCAUGUUUCUCAUGAAUAAAUAAAUAAAAUCCUUUAAAAAAUUUUUUUAAAAUCCAAAAUGCAGUUUCCUUUAGAAAUCUAGAUAAAUAUUUGCUCAUUUCUUACCUAACGAUAAUCCUUUGCAUUUGCAGUAUGCUUUUUUUCUUUCCAUGAAUGUACACCUUCACUUUCUUUUCUUUUGUGAGGUGGGGGAAGUGCUGACAUUUGCUUAUGGUGCGCAUAGCAUAAAAUUCACAAGGUACAAAAGAAUAUUGAAAACAGCUUUCAGUUCUUAAAACAGUUAAACACAGAAUUGCCAUAUGACCCAACAAUUGCACUCCUAAAUAUGUACCCAAAAGAAUUGAAAACAUGUAUUCAAACCAAAACCUGAAAAAACAACAAACCAAAACCUGUACAUGAGUGUUUACCGCAGCGCUAUUGCCAAUAGCCAAAAGGUGGAGACAACCCAAAUGUCCAUCAUCUGAUGAACAGAUAAACAAAAUGUGGUAUGUCCAUACAAUGAAAUGUAAAAUCCAUGAUGAAGAUCAGCAUGGAUAAACUCAAAACAUGCUAAACGAAAGAAGCUAGACACAUAAGGUCACAUAUUGUAUGACUCUAAUUAUAUGAAAUAUCCAGAAUGGGAAAAUCCACAGAGACAGAGCAGAUUAGUGGUUGCCAGGGGCUGGGGGAGAGGGGAUGGGAACUGCUAGUGGGAAUGGCAGGUUCUUUUUAGGAUGAUGAAAAUGUGGACUGACAUGGAGGUGAUGGUUGAACUGUACGGAAAUUGUACACUUUUUUAAAGAUUUUUAUUUCUUUGAGAGAGCACUAGAGAGAGACAGCAAGCACAAGUGGGGUGCAGAGGGAGAGGGUGAAGCAGGCUCCCUGCUGAGCAGGGAACCCAAUGAAGGGUUUCCAUCCCAGGACCCUAGGAUCAUGACCUGAGCCAAAGGCAGACACUUCACCCACUGAGCUACCCAGGCGCCUCCAAAAUUGUAUACUUUAAAAUGGUUCAUAUUGUGUUAUGUGAAUUUUACCUCAACUUUAUAAAAAGAAUACUGAACACUGAGUCGCUCCCACCAACCCUAUCCCCUAGCAAAUGGUACGUGAACAGAUAUUCUGAGCAUUUAUAAACAUUUGUGCAUAUAGGUUUUCAUAUAAAUGGCAGCAUCUUGUAUAUGUCAUCUGUACCUUGUUUCUUUUACUUAACAAAUUUUGGAGAUUAUUCUACCUCAGGACUUAGAGACUUGCUAGGCUCUUGCUUUUAACAUCUCUCUACUGCUCCAUUUCCUAGAUUUGCCCUGGUUUAUCUAGCCUGUCUGUCGGCUUUUGAUGUACAUUUAGAUUGUUUCCAGUAUUUUGCUAUUUCAAACAGGCUGCCAUGAAUAGCUUUGUACAUGGGUCAUUUCACACAUGCCUCUAUCUGCGGCGACUUCCUAGAAAUGGAGUUGCUGGGUCAAAGGGCAUGCACAUUUUCAUUUUUCCAGUUGCAAAAAUAAUGCAUACUUGUUAUACAAAUUUCAAACAGCUCUAAAGCUCAGAGGCUAGAAAGUGAAAGAAGCUCUUCCCAGAACCCUUAUCCUCCCUGUUCUUCGUCUGCCUCCGUCUUCUGUGCACUUGGCCCCUGGUCUGCAGCUCUCAGAGCCUUCCCUGCCUGACUGAUUCUUGGUCUCCCCUCGGCCUCCUCCCCCCUCUUCCUUCCCUCGUCCCUCAGUAGAGACUUUCUCAUCUGUCCCCAGGGCCUGGGCUGGGACCUCGGCUCACAGUCAAAUAUAGCCUAUUACCACCAAACCUACCAAUGGCAGGUCCCUGGCAAGUGCUUUCAAAUCAUAAAAUGCUCAAGCCAAAAGAUUAGGGGCUUCUCACCCACCCCUCACAUUCUACCUUACAUAGGAGGCAGCUGAGGCCCAGAGAAGGGAGAUGUGGUUCAGUGAGUGGGAUUACAGAGCCAAAAAGAGAAGCCAUAUUGCCUGACAUCCUGUCCAGGAGUCAUUUUGGUAAUAAACAAUUAUUGAGUACCAUGAGUGCCCACUGUUGUCAGGCACUGUUCGAGGCACUAGAAAAUGGUCAUAAGUGCCAUGUAAGAAUAAAAAGGGACUUGAGCCCAGGAGUUUUAACUGGGUGGUGAUAUGUGAGCUAAAACCUGAAUGGCAGGAAAGAGCCAGCCAUAUGCAGAGGUCCUGAGGUAGAAAGAAUAUUUGUGGAUUCAGUAGACAAAAAGAAGGUACACAGGGCUAGUCACUUAAGGACCUGGAGGCAGAGUAAAGUCAUUCUUCAAAGCCGUAAGGUCAGCUUCAACUGUCCCCCCCAACCUUUGCCCCCAGUAGUUCAGCCUGGAGGAUACAGAAGGGGUUCCUUGAACCCUUGCUGAGUGAUGAAUGAGCACCAUGUGUUAAAGGUGAGUGGAGAGGCACAGAGGUGUGUUACAGAAUCCUUGAACAGACGUAGAUUCAAGCCCCGGAUUACUAACCGUGUGGCUUAGAGCCUGCUACUGUUCACCUGUAUAAUUAUCAUAGUGGCAGCCAAUUCUUCCUGGACUUUGUGAGCUAUAUAGUUACAUCCGUGUUGCAAAUCUGCCCUUGUAGCCAUCGUGGGAAAGCAACUGUAGAUAAUACAAAACCAAAGGUGUCACUGUGUUCCAAUAAAACUUUAUUUGUGAAACCAGACUGUGAGCCAACCCAUUCUUUAAAGAGUGCUUAAAAUGUACCAGGUACAGCUGUAAGACCCUUACGUAUAUUAACACCUGUAUGAGGAGCUCAAGAGUCACAGUAAGUUGUUCUGUAUCUCAGUUGGGUCUUGGACACCAGUGAGAUUCAGGUGGUGUCUCUGGAUGUUCACUGCGGAAAUCUACACACACACACACACACAGUUGUGCACACAGCUCGGAGGCUAAGGACCUUUUGAGGCUUUUGUGGGUGCCCUAGAUGCGUAAUCCUGAAGGCCCUUUCUGCCUCUGACAGUAUCAGGCGGUAGUGCUAGGAGUUGUGGAAUGGCAGUGGGAGGGCUCUGAGAGAGUGGGAACCAACCUUCCAGAGCGGAUGGCGUGUCUGGGACAGUGGUGGAGUUCCUAGCUGAGAAGAGUCUGAACUCUGGAGGGUUGUCUUCCCAGGGAACCAUGGCCCCUGGAGGGCUUCCUUCCCAAAGUGAAUGGCAGAAAAAUCCUAGCCUGGGGAGGAGCCCUGCAGGAGCCCCGCCUUAGUCCUUUCUCCUGGUAGCAGUAGAAUGAAGGAAUUGGGUUAGACUCAUUCUUCCCAGCUACAGAUGUUUAUGGGCACCUACUGUGUACCAAAGACCACCUUGGGCCCCACCAGUGAUGAAGCAGCCUCAAGAAUGAAGAACUAUGCCCAAACAGAAUGAGAAGCCACUUGUGGCCUCCAGCCAGAUGGGGAGGGGAGGCGCCUAGGAGGGCAUGGCCCUAGAGCCAGUCCCUGAAGAUGGGUAGUUGGGGGCAUUCCAGGCAGAGGAAAGGACAUGCAUGUAGGAAGACUCAGAGUGUGGAGGGCCUGGUUUGGCUGAAGUGUUAGGUGAACAGAGAAGAAUUCUCAGGAGGAAGACAAGAAUGACAAUUGGGUCCACAGUGGUUAGGCCCCAAUGGGAACUAGACCAAGGUUCAUCAAGAGGUAACAACUGGGGACCCUAGGUGGCUCAGCAGUUGAGCUGAGCCUUGGGCUCAGGGUGUGAUCCCAGAGUCCUGGGAUCAAGUCCCGCAUAAUACUCCCCGCAGGGAGCCUGCUUUUUCCCUCUGCCUGUGUCUCUGCCUCUCUCUCUCUGUGUCUCUCAUGAAUAAAUAAAUAAAAUCUUAAAAAAAAAAAAAAAAAAAAA